rnacentral:rRNA from 1 species
AUUGAACGCUGGCGGCAUGCCUUACACAUGCAAGUCGAACGGUAACAGGUCUUCGGAUGCUGACGAGUGGCGAACGGGUGAGUAAUACAUCGGAACGUGCCCGAUCGUGGGGGAUAACGGAGCGAAAGCUUUGCUAAUACCGCAUACGAUCUACGGAUGAAAGCAGGGGACCGCAAGGCCUUGCGCGGACGGAGCGGCCGAUGGCAGAUUAGGUAGUUGGUGGGAUAAAGCUUACCAAGCCGACGAUCUGUAGCUGGUCUGAGAGGACGACCAGCCACACUGGGACUGAGACACGGCCCAGACUCCUACGGGAGGCAGCAGUGGGGAAUUUUGGACAAUGGGCGCAAGCCUGAUCCAGCCAUGCCGCGUGCAGGAUGAAGGCCUUCGGGUUGUAAACUGCUUUUGUACGGAACGAAAAGACUCUUUCUAAUAAAGAGGGUCCAUGACGGUACCGUAAGAAUAAGCACCGGCUAACUACGUGCCAGCCGCCGCUGUAACAC